UACGGGGGGAGCAAGCGUUGUUCGGAUUUACUGGGCGUAAAGGCGCGUAGGCGGCCACCGCAAGUCGACUGUGAAAUCUCCGGGCUUAACCCGGAAAGGUCAGCCGAUACUGCGGGCUAGAGUGCAGAAGGGGCAACUGGAAUUCUCGGUGUAGCGGUGAAAUGCGUAGAUAUCGAGAGGAACACCUGCGGCGAAGGCGGGUUGCUGGGCUGACACUGACGCUGAGGCGCGAAAGCUAGGGGAGCGAACGGG
rnacentral:rRNA from 1 species